rnacentral:rRNA from 1 species
GCAAGUCGCACGAGAACGCUUCAGCUUGCUGAAGCUAGUAAAGUGGCGCACGGGUGAGUAACGCGUGGGUAAUCUAUCUCUGAAUUGGGGAUAACAUUGCGAAAGCGAUGCUAAUACCGGAUAAUAUCCAUUAAACCCCGGUUUUUUGGAUCAAAGGUGGCAUCUACAUGUAAGCUACUGUUUGGAGACGAGCCCGCGUAGCAUUAGCUUGUUGGUGGGGUAACGGCCUACCAAGGCAACGAUGCUUAGCUGGUCUGAGAGGAUGAUC